AUGCGAGCGGUAUGGUCAGCGGUGCAUGUACACUAGAUAGUGGCAAAUUGCAGCAUGCUGCUUAGGCCGCCCAUUGUGACCUUCUUGUGGGCGUGCUGGCAGCAUAUGGCAACAUGCUCGAUUGUGCGUCAAGAAUUCAGCAUAGCAAGUUUGUAUGAAGGUCUGGUUAUUAAAUGGGUAGAUAGUAAUAUCCUCUAAAACGCUCUGGUGACAAAUAAACUUUGCUGCCCUGUUUCCAAUUGUCCACAUGUAUGGGAGAACCUAUUCAAGUAGCUUGUAACUGGAGAUUCCUCUAAACGAUUGCCUACAGUUAAUUUGUAGGGCACUGCAAGGUUGUGUGACCAGGGCCAUCUGGGACUGCCUCCUGGAGGAAUUCAGGUGUGUGAAGGCUACCUGUGUUCUGCAUAACUUCAUGAGGAUGGACCAGGAGGGGAUUUGCAGCUCGCCGCCGUGUGCCAGAGAAGAAGUCUGCUGCUCUGCAGGAUGUUUCAAGGAUGGGGUCCAACAACGCAGCAAGAAAGGCCAUCUGUGUGCCUUGAGAUCUUCACCUACUUCUUCGAAGAGGGUGCUGUUCCCUGGCAACACCAGACUACACUAUGCAUAACCAAAGGCUCUUUUAAGAGCCAUUCACAUUGCAAUAAAAGUAUUCUUCCAUUUGCUUAGCUCUGUCAACUGCAGUUGAGGGUGCUGUUUAGGUAAGGGUGUAAUGUCUGUACAAAAACAAAACAGGCUAUUUUAAAUCACCCAUAUUGAAAAAAUGUAGGACAAUUAGACACCCUAUAACUCAUACCUAUACACUCAUGUAUCAAUCUGAUUGAUGGAUUGUGUUGUGCAGUAAGCAGACUCAGGUAUAUAACUGUGGAUCCUUCCACCUUCAAAUAAUUGGCAAGAGGGCCAACAAUGGAGAAUAGUUAUAUCAGCUGUGUCGGUGAACCCCUCCCGCAACUGAACUGGCUACAUAGAGGGCACAGCAUGAUCAGAGAUGUUUGGAUGAGAGGAUGCCAACCCCCAGUCCCAUCAUUGCCACCUCACCCGCUCUUAAGAUAACCUUCGGGCCGACUCGAGACACUUAUAUAAUUGUGAUGAACUGAGAGAAUAUUUGGGUAGCACUGAUUCAUUAAUCAUAUGCUGCCUUCUCUGCUCCUAUGUUCUUACCUCUUUCCCUUUGUCUUUUACACCUCUCGCAGCCUCCUCUUUCUUCCUCUGUUUUUAUAAUGCACAACAGAUGUGCGUUGAAGUACAGAUUUCACUUGUAUUUAUAAUAUUACAAUUAUAAUAUUUAUAAUGUAUGUAUUUAUAACACUUGGAUAAUAAACUUCUUUCAAUAAAGUA